UACGUGGGCAGCAAGCGUUGUUCGGAGUUACUGGGCGUAAAGGGUGUGUAGGUGGCCUGUUAAGUUCCGUGUGAAAUCUCCCGGAUCAACCGGGAGGGUGCGCGGAAAACUGGCGGGCUAGAGUACGGGAUGGGAGAGUAGAAUUCCUGGUGUAGCGGUGAAAUGCGUAGAUAUCAGGAGGAAUACCGGUGGUGUAGACGGCUCUCUGGACCGUAACUGACACUGAGACACGAAAGCGUGGGUAGCAAACAGG
rnacentral:rRNA from 1 species